rnacentral:lncRNA from 1 species
AGUCCCGGGGCAGCACUGGUUGGGUGCGCCCUGCACAGUGAAAGUCCAGGAGUCUCAACACCAGGGGGCGCUGAGGAGCUAGGGGACAUCCCCUCCCUGUCCUCCGCCCCCUCCCCGCCCGCGCGCAAAACACUGGUCGGAGAGGCAGCACGGUGGAGCCGGAGCCGCGGGCCGAGCGGAGCCGGAGAGCGGCGGAGGCGGCGGCGGCACCAUGACCCUGGGCAGCUGCUGUUGCGAGAUCAUGUCCUCCGAGAGCUCCCCGGCCGCGCUGUCCGAGCCCGACGCAGAUAUAGACGUGGUGGGCGGCGGCAGCGGUGGGGGGGAGCUCACAGCCCGCUCCGGGCCCCGCGCCCCUCGGGACGUGCUCCCGCACGGCCACGAGCUUCCCCCGGAGGAAGCCGAGGCGGACGUGGCUGAGGACGAGGAAGAGUCGGGAGGCUGCUCGGACUGCGAGCCCCGCGCUCUAGGGCCCCGGGGGGCGGCGGCCG